UACGUAUGGAGCAAGCGUUAUCCGGAUUUACUGGGCGUAAAGGGAGCGUAGGCGGCCUGCCAAGUCUGAUGUGAAAUACCGGGGCUCAACCCCGGGGCUGCAUUGGAAACUGGCAGGCUGGAGUGCCGGAGAGGCAGGCGGAAUUCCUAGUGUAGCGGUGAAAUGCGUAGAUAUUAGGAGGAACACCAGUGGCGAAGGCGGCCUGCUGGACGGUGACUGACGCCGAGGCUCGAAAGCGUGGGGAGCAAACAGG
rnacentral:rRNA from 1 species